rnacentral:rRNA from 1 species
AGCGGCGGAUGGGUGAGUAACACGUGGGGAACCUGCCCCUAAGUCUGGGAUACCAUUUGGAAACAGGUGCUAAUACCGGAUAAUAAAGCAGAUCGCAUGAUCAGCUUUUGAAAGGCGGCGUAAGCUGUCGCUAAGGGAUGGCCCCGCGGUGCAUUAGCUAGUUGGUAAGGUAACGGCUUACCGAGGCGACGAUGCAUAGCCGAGUUGAGAGACUGAUCGGCCACAUUGGGACUGAGACACGGCCCAAACUCCUACGGGAGGCAGCAGUAGGGAAUCUUCCACAAUGGACGCAAGUCUGAUGGAGCAACGCCGCGUGAGUGAAGGAGGUUUUCGGAUCGUAAAGCUCUGUUGUUGGUGAAGAAGGAUAGAGGUAGUAACUGGCCUUUACUUGACGGUAAUCAACCAGAAAGUCACGGCUAACUACGUGCCAGCAGCCGCGGUAAUACGUAGGUGGCAGGCGUUGUCCGGAUUUAUUGGGCGUAAGCGAGCGCAGGCGGAAAAAUAAGUCUAAUGUGAAAGCCCUCGGCUUAACCGAGGAACUGCAUCGGAAACUGUUUUUCUUGAGUGCAGAAGAGGAGAGUGGAACUCCAUGUGUAGCGGUGGAAUGCGUAGAUAUAUGGAAGAACACCAGUGGCGAAGGCGGCUCUCUGGUCUGCAACUGACGCUGAGGCUCGAAAGCAUGGGUAGCGAACAGGAUUAGAUACCCUGGUAGUCCAUGCCGUAAACGAUGUGUGCUAAGUGU